UACGUAGGGUGCAAGCGUUGUCCGGAUUUAUUGGGCGUAAAGAGCGUGUAGGCGGCUGGGUAGGUCCGUUGUGAAAACUCGAGGCUCAACCUCGAGACGCCGAUGGAAACCCUCCAGCUAGAGUCCGGAAGAGGAGAGUGGAAUUCCUGGUGUAGCGGUGAAAUGCGCAGAUAUCAGGAGGAACACCGGUGGCGAAGGCGGUUCUCUGGGCCUUACCUGACACUGAGGAGCGAAAGCGUGGGGAGCGAACAGG
rnacentral:rRNA from 1 species